CUCGAGCGGCGAACGGGUGAGUAACACGUGAGUAAUCUGCCUCUGGCUUCGGGAUAGCCACCGGAAACGGUGAUUAAUACCGGAUAUGACGCAUCGCCGCAUGGUGUGUGCGUGGAAAGUUUUUUCGGCCAGGGAUGUGCUCGCGGCCUAUCAGCUUGUUGGUGGGGUAAUGGCCUACCAAGGCUUCGACGGGUAGCCGGCCUGAGAGGGUGACCGGCCACACUGGGACUGAGACACGGCCCAGACUCCUACGGGAGGCAGCAGUGGGGAAUAUUGGACAAUGGGCGGAAGCCUGAUCCAGCAACGCCGCGUGAGGGAUGACGGCCUUCGGGUUGUAAACCUCUUUCAGCACAGACGAAGCGCAAGUGACGGUAUGUGCAGAAGAAGGACCGGCCAACUACGUGCCAGCAGCCGCGGUAAUACGUAGGGUCCGAGCGUUGUCCGGAAUUAUUGGGCGUAAAGGGCUCGUAGGCGGUUUGUCGCGUCGGGAGUGAAAACACCGGGCUUAACUCGGUGCUUGCUUUCGAUACGGGCAGACUAGAGGCAUUCAGGGGAGAACGGAAUUCCUGGUGUAGCGGUGAAAUGCGCAGAUAUCAGGA
rnacentral:rRNA from 1 species